UGCCAUCUCAGUGCUCUUCCACGUCUAUCGUCUACACGAUGUAUGCUGCACGGAGUUUAUAGGUGAAGUUGAACAACAAAUUCCAUCUACCAGAUCUAACCGCGUCGGGAAGCUUCACCACUGCAAACCGCGGCAUUCAGAGAACCCAUCUUCAUUGCUAGUAGAGACAGCUCUCAUUCAUUCGAUUCCCUAACCCUUGAAUCUCACACUUUGUGAGUGCUAUUUUCCGCUGAGCAGAUGCGGACUUCCUGCUCUCGAUGGGCAUCCCAGUUGAGCCUGGAUAGGCCAUUUGCAAGGUUAACCCGCGCACACCUUCCGUCCUCUCCGAGUGUAACAACGACGAAACCACAGGACUGCCGGCUGGUCCGCUGGUCGUCAACGAACACACCUACUGGCCCGGCCACCCACAGCCUUGAUAGAAAGGGUUGGGAAAACAGAAUCACAGAAAUCAGAAAUGUUUACCAUGAACCAUAUCCCCGAAUGACCGUCGACAAGCGGUCAAUCAGCAGCGACGAGUUCCACUCCAAGUACGAUUACCUAAAGCCAAACGAAACUGCAGAGCAGGACUAUGUGGUUAUAUAUGGUAGAAUACAGUCGGCACGGAUUGCGGGGAGCAAAUUGAUAUUUCUUGACCUUGUACAGAAUGGCCGGAAGGUGCAAGUGCUGUGCAAUCAGAGACAUCUGGACGGUAUGGGAGUGACGCCGGAGAAGUUCAAGCAAUUCUACCAUCUACUACGGCGCGGGGAUGUUUUCUCGGUCAUCGGACACCCCCAUCGAACAAGCCGUAGAGAGCUCUCUGUGGCCGCAUCCCAACUCCCCAAGCUCAUCACGCCUUGUCUUCACGAUGUCCCGCUCCGUAUGAAAGAUCAAGAAUCCUCGCCAUAUGACCGGCACGUUCAGUUACUAUCCUCCCCCACCGCAGCCGAUAUCCUUCGAGCUCGGUCAUCUAUCAUUCAAUACAUACGCAGUUUUUUCCUGGACAGGUCUUUCAUGGAAGUGGAGACACCGAUAUUAGCAUCUGUGGCCGGCGGCGCGGUUGCCAGACCGUUCCAAACAUCCGCAACUGAAUUCCCUGACCGACCACUUUCGUUGAGGAUUGCCCCGGAGCUAUGGCUCAAGCGCCUGGUUGUUGGCGGAUUCGAUAAGGUCUUUGAGAUUGGCCCAUCAUUUCGCAAUGAAGGGCUGGAUAAAACCCACAACCCGGAAUUCACAACCUGUGAAUUCUACCACGCAUUCGCCGACCUGGAAACCUUAAUAACCCUGACCGAGUCUUUCUUCACGGGCCUUGACCGACACAUCCGCCAUCUAAACGAAACAUUAGAAACCCUCUCACCGACCACAACUAGUUUCGCAGCCCCCUUCUGCCGUCUCGACUUCAUCCCAGAUCUCGAAACGGCAAUGUGCCACAAGCUACCGGACUUUACCACCACCCCUACAGAAGAAGCAACCAAAACAGUCAUCCAGCUCUUCGAGCAACUCAGCCAUCCGCUCCCGACAAACCCCAACCUUCCCCGCCUCCUCGACCGACUAAGCGCCAUCUACCUCGAGCCGCAGUGCAGAGACCCAACCUUCAUCAUCAACCACCCGGAAUGCCUCUCACCACUCUCGAAGUCAUUCACGCACCCCACAUGCGGGCAGACCGUGGCAGCACGGGCGGAGCUCUUCAUUGACCAGCGGGAGGUGGUCAAUAUGUAUGAAGAAGAGAACUCACCGUUUGAGCAGAGGCGGAAGUUUGAGAUCCAGCUUGGGUUUCAGGUCCCGGCGGUGGAGGCGGAGGGGAAAAUGGAUG
rnacentral:sRNA from 1 species